rnacentral:rRNA from 1 species
UGGGGAAUAUUGGACAAUGGGCGAAAGCCUGAUCCAGCCAUGCCGCGUGCAGGAUGAAGGCCUUCGGGUUGUAAACUGCUUUUGUACGGAACGAAAAGACUCUGGUUAAUACCUGGGGUCCAUGACGGUACCGUAAGAAUAAGCACCGGCUAACUACGUGCCAGCAGCCGCGGUAAUACGUAGGGUGCGAGCGUUAAUCGGAAUUACUGGGCGUAAAGCGUGCGCAGGCGGUUAUAUAAGACAGAUGUGAAAUCCCCGGGCUCAACCUGGGAACUGCAUUUGUGACUGUAUAGCUAGAGUACGGCAGAGGGGGAUGGAAUUCCGCGUGUAGCAGUGAAAUGCGUAGAUAUGCGGAGGAACACCGAUGGCGAAGGCAAUCCCCUGGGCCUGUACUGACGCUCAUGCACGAAAGCGUGGGGAGCAAACAGGAUUAGAUACCCAUGUAGUCCCUGAGCGGGCUGGCAAGGCGCAU